UAGUGCUUCACGCAAUGGAAUUCUAUCCACAUACCCAAAGUGCUCGCUCCAGCAUCCGUUUCCUCGAUCACAAUCGAAUAGUCGAUUCGCUGCGUUCGAAAGUGAAUUAACUUGAUCUUGAACUUGUCCAAUGAUAGACACAAGGCGAAGUCGCUCAAAACUAACAGCAAUAAAAAACACGACGGAAAAAGAGCAACGAUCGAACUUGAUAUACCAGUCGCUCAUUACUUCCUUUCAGCCAGAAAUGGUGAAUGCAACUACACCACAGAUAAAUGCUCCAAUGUAAAAGAUUGUUUUCCAUACUGUCAAGAGCCUGACGUUAUUGCUUAUGGAGUAAAAGAGGCAUUCUGUCUGAAUGGUUAUUGUUCAUGCGGUGAAGCAAUUCAAAUAUGCUUCUCCGAGGAAGACUGCUGGAGACAAUGUAGGACAGAUUCGUUGUCUCCACAUCGUAAAAGACCUUUAUGCACAGAAAAUGGAUAUUGUGAAUGCCUAGAAUCGUAAACUUUAAUUGACUAUUUUUUGCAUUUUAAUAUCGGAUUUUUCGAUAAAAAUACGUAUAUCUAACAUUUAUGAAUAUUUACAAUAUUUGCUCAACUUUCCACAUUCCAAAAAACAUUAUAGUUAUUUUGUAUGAAUAAACGUUAUGUUGAAGAUUUCUAAAUUGUAUAAGUAUUCUUUGAUCAUUAAACAUUACUUAGUUCUUAUACUGAUCAUAAGCCGUAGAGAACUGAAUUUUUAACCACUUAAAUAAACUUUUAUUGCUGAACCAGUCGCACAAAUGGAACGCAAAAUUUUCCAGCAAUUUCUUACAGUAGCUCUAAAUAAAAAUUAGCGUUUUAUUACCCACAUAAAUUAAAUUAUUGAUGUUUCGCAGAAUAUGCUUUGUAAAAAAAGAAGAAAAUAUAACUAAUUUUGUGCAAGGAAAAUAAACGUAAAGAAGGACUCGUAAUUACUGGUGCAGGCCUUUCUGUAACAUUUCUUGGGUCACUACAUUAGACAGCUGUGCAAAAAGCUCGCAAUUUUCUGCGGCAGGACAUUCUCAUAAAAUGAUUGCGAUGCUCUUAGCUCUCUACAAUGAGCUCUAUUAGCAAUAAUUCAUCACCAAGCGUGAAAAGAAAUGAAUAGCGGGAAGAUAGGAAAAAGGAGACAAUUAAGUGAAAAAUGAUUGCUUGUACUUGCCUUAUACUCUCUAUUAAUUAUUUUCAGCUGCGCUACUUUAUCUUGGAAAAAUAGGUAAAGAUAUAGAUUUUUAAUUAUGUCAUACGUUUUUGUAAUAUUUGAAAACAAAUAUUUGUAUUUUUUAUUCAUUUUUUAACGACUAAUUAAAAAAAAUGUUUACUAUUAAUUUCUAACAUAUCUAGUUGAAUUUUUAUGUAUAAUUAUAAGCAAUUCAUUAUCUGGAUCGCUACUGGUAUAGAAAUGAUAAACGACGGUGUUCUCAUCGGUUUCAUUUAUUAAGCAAGUUUCAUCUACAUGACGAUCAAACCUCUUUAAGUAAUAUAGACUAGUGAUACAGAUAGUGAUGUUGUCGUAGAUUAAUUGUCACAGAUGCAAGUCGGGAAUUAUGCACAUCAGGAAUUUUUUACUUAUAUUUGAAACAAAUAAAACCUAUACUCACAGAGGUAUUAGCUUAUAAGGGCUAU